UGGGACUAGGUCAAUAGGUGUGAAUUGUCUUUAAAAAAAAAAUCAUUAUAUAUAAGAAUUCCUAUAAAUACACACACAGCAAUCAGCCCUCACAGAUUACAUAAAAUCAUUGAUAUUUCUUCAUCACGAAUAAAACCAAUUGCAAUUGACCAUUCCAAUCCGAAUUUAUUACAACAAAUUAUCCACGCAUAUUACAAAUCUGGAAUGCGGCCGCAUUAUGUCCAGUAUUUACUGAUCCCUUUAU